rnacentral:rRNA from 1 species
UACGUAGGGUGCAAGCGUUGUCCGGAAUUAUUGGGCGUAAAGAGCUCGUAGGCGGUUUGUCGCGUCUGCUGUGAAAACUGGGGGCUCAACCCCCAGCCUGCAGUGGGUACGGGCAGACUAGAGUGCGGUAGGGGAGAUUGGAAUUCCUGGUGUAGCGGUGGAAUGCGCAGAUAUCAGGAGGAACACCGGUGGCGAAGGCGGAUCUCUGGGCCGUAACUGACGCUGAGGAGCGAAAGCAUGGGUAGCGAACAGG